rnacentral:rRNA from 1 species
AACGCUGGCGGCGUGCUUAAUACAUGCAAGUCAACUUGACUUAGAUAGCAAUAUCGAAAAGUAGGGUGGCGCACGGGUGCGUAACGCGUAGGUAAUCUGCCCUGAGGUCUGACAUAACCCGUCGAAAGGCGGGCUAACAUCAGAUGAUAUAUAAUCACGACAUCGUGGAAAUAUCAAAUCUUCGGAGCCUUGGGAUGAGCCUGCGUCUGAGUAGGUAGUUGGCGGAGUAAUAGCCCACCAAGCCUACGAUCAGUAGCUGGUCUGAGAGGAUGAUCAGCCACACUGGAACUGAGACACGGUCCAGACUCCUACGGGAGGCAGCAGUAAGGAAUAUUGCUCAAUGGGGGGUAACCCUGAAGCAGCAACGCCGCGUGAAGGAUGAAAUACUUUGUAUGUAAACUUCUGUAAGAUGGGAAAAAUAUUCUCCUCGGGAGAAUUGAUUGUACCAUCAGAGUAAGCCCCGGCUAACUACGUG